rnacentral:rRNA from 1 species
GCAAGUCGAGGGGCAGCGCGGGAGAAGCUUGCUUUCCUGGCGGCGACCGGCGCACGGGUGCGUAACAGGUGUGCAAUCUGUCCAUAGUCGGGGGGAUAGCCCAGCGAAAGCUGAAUUAACACUCCAUGUGAAUCGAAGCCGCAUGACUUUGAUUUGAAACGCAAGGACUAUGGGUGAGCACGCUUCUGAUUAGGUAGUUGGUGGGGUAACGGCCCACCAAGCCGACGAUCAGUAGGGUUCUGAGAGGAAGGUCCCCCACAUUGGAACUGAGACACGGUCCAAACUCCUACGGGAGGCAGCAGUGAGGAAUAUUGGUCAAUGGGCGAGAGCCUGAACCAGCCAAGUCGCGUUGAAGGAUGAAGGUUCUAUGGAUUGUAAACUUCUUUUGUCCGAGGGUAAAAAAGGUCACGUGUGACUUCUUGCAAGUAUCGGACGAAUAAGCAUCGGCUAACUCCGUGCCAGCCGCCGC